UACGUAGGGUGCAAGCGUUAAUCGGAAUUACUGGGCGUAAAGCGUGCGCAGGCGGUUUGCUAAGACAGGUGUGAAAUCCCCGGGCUUAACCUGGGAACUGCGCUUGUAACUAGCAGGCUAGAGUGUGGCAGAGGGCGGUGGAAUUCCAGGUGUAGCAGUGAAAUGCGUAGAUAUCUGGAGGAACACCGAUGGCGAAGGCAGCCCCCUGGGCUAACACUGACGCUCAUGCACGAAAGCGUGGGGAGCAAACAGG
rnacentral:rRNA from 1 species